ensembl:lncRNA novel transcript, antisense to CBLN1
GGGGUCUUAGAGAAACAUCUUUUGAGCCACAGACUUCUUUGUUACCAGAAGGAAAAUGAAAGAAGAAAUUUAAAUACCACUUGAAGAGAGUUUCCUCAUCAGCAAAGUCAGAAAAAGUAUGUACCUGAAGGACUGAUUGUAAGGCUGGGAUGAGAGAAUCCAUGUGAUCAGCCCUCACCAACAGGUGCUGCCCAGUUCAUGAGUGCUGCUGCUGUCCUGCCCAAGUACCCAGCUUGCAGAGUGCCAGAGUUAGAGUCCCAGGGGUGUUCUCCACAGCUGCAUGCUUGAUCCAGGCCUAUCAGCAUCUGAGGAAUACAUCCAAAGAGGGUGAUACUGUGGCAUGAUGGUACCAGGAUUCCAAGUUCAUUCCAGAUCAUUGGGUAGAGACUAGAAAUGUACCGAGCAGUGCGCAAAGAAGAUGAGGAGGGUUCUACAGUUUCUCCAGAUACAUACCAUGACAAUUUGUUUUUUUAAAAAAGAAGAAAGCCUGCAGGAAAAAAUCUACAACUUUCAUCAAAUUACUCAGGGAGACUUUAUUCUAAAGAGACUGAAAACGACCAACAUCAAUUUUGACUCCUAUGGGCAUCUGUAAAUAGCUUCAAGGUUUUAAGGUGAAAUGUCAUGUACCAAAAUACACAUUCUGGAGAAGCAGGAAGCUACAGACCAACUUGAGAUGAAAGUCUCAUAUCAAUGUUUUCCCAAGUGUGCUCCUUGGAAUACAGGUUGACAUGAUAUGAUGCCCAGCAAGGGAAACAAAACAUAUUCAUGUUCAAAUUAGUUGGGGAAAUGCUGGACUAAAUAAGGUUUGAUGGGAUUCUUUUUUCUGCAGGACUUCUCAGAAGGGGCUAGAGUAGGCAAAGUUUCCCAGAUUUACCUAAUAAAAGCAUUGUUUCUGUGGGAGUUUCAUUUGUUAUUACAUGUUUCCUGAAUGCAGAUUCAUAGACUAUCCUUUGGGGAACCCUCGUCCUCACGGGAUGUAUGUUCAUGGUGGUGUCUUCGAGUUUGUGCCCUUGUGAAGCAUUCUGGCAGCAAGCAUCUGAACACUUCCAAAAGGGGGCGAUAUUUAGGAGAAAUCGCUCAGCCUGAGUUAGAACAAAUGCAGCUGCUGGUGUCUCUUGGUGCCUGGGAGCCCUAGAGUGUCAGAGGGAGGAGCGUGCACACUGGAACCAGCAGCCUGGUGCUGCGUCUCAGCUCUGUCGCUAACUGGCUAUGCACCUCUGGGCAUGGCACUUAACCCUUCUGAGCCCCAGCCCGCCAUCUGUAAAAAGGGCUUGAUGUGAGGAUUGAAUGAGAUCAUGCAGGGAACACAAUGUCUGGCACUUGGAAGCGUCCACCAUAAAGAGCCAAGGCAGUAGAUGGCCCAGCUGGGUUUGGUCCAGGCAGAGUUUACCCUCUGCCCUGGAGGCUCCAGGAAAUGCUGCCACGUGGCUCCUAUUGCCUUAACCACAUCCGACCUGUUCCUGACAGCUCCCCACAUCUCCAGCUCCUUUGCUGGUGCUCCAGGCACCUCCAAACGUGGCGAGCCCCUCUCCCCUGCCCUCUUGUGGCAGCUGACCUGGCAGGAGUGGGACCAAGACAUCCAAGGCAGCUCCUUUCCACCUGCAUGGGCACUUUCCUCAGGACAUCCUUGCCCCUGGCACCACCUUGGGCCAGCAAGCCACAUGGAAAUGGAUGCAGAGGCACCACUGUUUGCUGACAAUUAUACACUGUCCUUAAGGUCACCCUUGGCGAUCUGUCACCAGGAGCAGACAAACCCACACCUCAACCAUCCCAUCAGAGCUUGUUUCUAUCUGCAUCUGUCAUCGCUGAUCGCAUUUGAAU